UUAACUAUUAUGUAAUACUCGGACAAUACAAAUCAAGAGUUUAGGGUCCUCUGGCAGGCGCGGACCAGCCUAGGCCAGUGGUCAUAAGACGGGCCUGCCAAAGCAACAAAGGUAAUAUAGACAAAGGGUGGGAGAUCUACCCCGGAGGGCAAUUUCUCUGUAAUGAUCCUUCCGCAGGUUCACCUACGGAAA
rnacentral:misc_RNA from 1 species